rnacentral:tRNA from 1 species
GAAAACUUCUUGGCGCACACGUUGCACACGCAGGUCUAAUGGUUUUCUGGUGUGGUGCAAUGACAU